rnacentral:lncRNA from 1 species
UAAUGUGAAAAAUAACACGCACUCGAAUGGAAAAACAACAAAAAGAACGCAUCUGAACGGAAAAAAAAACAGACACACAUUUAUAAAAGACAACACGCGUCGUUCUCUAUUUUUCAAAACACAUAAGAACGAAAAUAUACAUAAUAUAUUAAAUAUAUUGGAAAAGCAUCAAAAGAAAGUAAAUCAAUUACAAUCGAUUCUUUUAAUUAAUUUGGCUAUUAUAAUAGCAAUAUGCAGUAUUGCAGGAUAUUUAUUUAGUUCUGAUAGUAUGUUAAUAAAUAAAUAUAUUAUAAAAGAAAUUGAUAAAACUAUGAAAAAUAUAAACCAUUCUGAAAGUAUAAAAGAACAAACACGCACAUUAAUAGAUAAUUUGUUAUAUAAUGUCACAUCGAAUGAACAAAAUAAACAACUUUUUUCUAUUUUUUUAGUAAAUGUAUUAAAAAAUAGUCAACACGAAACAACUGAUUUACUACUUAAAAUGUUAGAAACAGAUUAUGUUAAAAAUAAAUUAAAAAUCAUUUUUUUGGAUAUAUUUACGAACUUAUGUCAUAGUAAAGACAUGCAAAAUAGUGUGUAUCAUUUGUUAUCUAAAGCUAUACAUUUACCUGUAGCUAUUAAUACAUCAAAAAUUUGGCUAAACAAUUUAUUCAAUUCGCAAGAAGUAAAAGAAAAUUUGAGAAAUGUCAUAUUCAAAGAUUUAUUCAUAAAUGAUGAAAUGAUUAAUAAAUCAAUCGAAUUUAUGCAAAAUGUACUUUAUAGUACCUUACAACAUAAUAAUACAAAAGAAAUAACAAAAAUUUUUUUUUAUUCUAUUAUUUCUAGUCCCAAUUUUCAACAACAACUAUCAGAAAACUUAUGGAAAAUAUUAAAGUUGACCAUUUCACCCAAGUGGAUAUACUUCGAUGAAUUUAAAAUGACAGACCGACAAGGAAAUAAUAGAAUGGCAGAGUUGGUUAUAGAUGACGCCCUUGUUGAUGGUGCGAGUGAAAUUGCUGGUGAUAGUUUUAAAGGCAUAAUUAGUGAAAGCGUUAGUGAAAGCGUUGGUGAAAGCGUUGGUGAAAGCGUUGGUGAAAGCGUUGGUGAAAGCGUUGGUGAAAGCGUUGGUGAAAGCGUUGGUGAAAGCGUUGGUGAAAGCGUUAGUGAAAGCAUUAGUAGCAACACUAAUAGCAACACUAAUAGCAACACUAGUAGCAACACUAGUAGCAACACUAAUAGCAACACUAAUAGCAACACUAGUAGCAACACUAAUAGCAACACUAGUAGCAACACUAGUAGUAACAUUAAUAGCAACGUUAGUAGCAACACUAGUAGCAACACUAGUAGUAACAUUAAUAGCAACGUUAGUAGCAACGUUAGUAGCAACACUAGUAGCAACACUAGUAGCAACACUAGUAGCAACACUAGUAGUAACACUAGUAGUAACGUUAGUAAUGUCAAAGAAAAAAGAAUUAGUAAGGAUAAUAAUAGUCACUCCUCUCAUGUCAAACAAGUGGUAAAUACUACUUCAAAUGCUAGUAGUAGUCAUUCACACAGUAAAGAAGAAGAAACAGAAAACACGGAUGCUGUCAAAAAUGUAGAACAUGAAACAAAUAAGAAUUUAGAAAAAUUAAAAAAAGAAAUAAAACAAACAAUAGAGCUUUAUAACAUGAAAACAGAAGAAGAUAAUAGUAACGAGGGUAUAAUACCUGUUGGGGGAAUUACUAAUGAAGAAAUGGGAAAUGCCAACCAGGUUAGUAUUAAAUGUGACGGUUCCAACGAUGUUAUUGCAGAACAGACUAGUUCCACUAUUAUCUAUUCAAAAAAUAGCCAAGAUAUGCUUAAACCUGAUAUUGAUAACACUUUAGAAAAAGUAAAACAAACUGUGUUGUCACCUUCACCAAAUGAAAAUAUAAAAGACAAAUAUUUAAAUUUAACAAAUUUUUAUAAACCUAAUAAUGAUCAAAAGGUUGAAAAUAUUAUGUCUGAUGUACCAUUGAAAGAUAUCCCUAAACAAUCAAGUUCUGACACUACUGGUGAAUAUAUAUGUAUUAUAAAUGAUGACGGACAUAAGUACAGAAGUAUAGAUAAAGACAGAGAUAAUGGUGGAAACUUGUUUGAAGUCUUAAAAAAAAUAAUUAUGGGAAAUAAUAAAUAUGAAAUAAAGAAAAGUAUUCACACACUUGAAAACGAAAUAAAAAUUCAGUUUCUUAAUGUGUUUUUAUUUUGUUCAUAUAAAUACUACUUUUAUUAUUAUUAUAUAAGAAAGUUUAAGUUGACUUUUGAAAAACUACUAAAGGAGUAAAACGUUUUUAUGCAAC